AGGUAUAGCUACAAAUCACUUUCACUCAUACACACAUACAAAUACGUUAUAUGGAGAGAAGCUAAGAAAACAAUGGCCUUAAUAAAACACAUUCAACAAUAUUGUAUUAACGAAACAACAAAACCAGUUUAGAAGCGAAACCAAUUUGUGGUGAAAUCUUUCGUCUUUGUAAGAGAAGCGAAUGAUUUCAGUUCAAAGAACCAAAAGCCACGAGUUACCCCAUGGAGACGACACUUAAACAUAGUUACCGAUUAAUUCUUAAAUUGGGUGCUUCAUAAAUACAUAUGUUUAUAUUUUA